rnacentral:rRNA from 1 species
UCGCUGUGAAGAUGCAGUGUACCCGCGGCUAGACGGAAAGACCCCGUGAACCUUUACUACAGCUUGGCACUGAACAUUGAACCUACAUGUGUAGGAUAGGUGGGAGGCUUUGAAGACGUGACGCCAGUUGCGUUGGAGCCGUCCUUGAAAUACCACCCUUGUAUGUUUGAUGUUCUAACGUUGGCCCCUAAUCGGGGUUGCGGACAGUGCCUGGUGGGUAGUUUGACUGGGGCGGUCUCCUCCCAAAGAGUAACGGAGGAGCACGAAGGUGGGCUAAUCACGGUUGGACAUCGUGAGGUUAGUGCAAUGGCAUAAGCCCGCUUAACUGCGAGAAUGACGGUUCGAGCAGGUGCGAAAGCAGGUCAUAGUGAUCCGGUGGUUCUGAAUGGAAGGGCCAUCGCUCAACGGAUAAAAGGUACUCCGGGGAUAACAGGCUGAUACCGCCCAAGAGUUCAUAUCGACGGCGGUGUUUGGCACCUCGAUGUCGGCUCAUCACAUCCUGGGGCUGAAGUCGGUCCCAAGGGUAUGGCUGUUCGCCAUUUAAAGUGGUACGCGAGCUGGGUUUAGAACGUCGUGAGACAGUUCGGUCCCUAUCUGCCGUGGGCGUUGGAAGAUUGAAGGGGGCUGCUCCUAGUACGAGAGGACCGGAGUGGACGAACCUCUGGUGUUCGGGUUGUGUCGCCAGACGCAUUGCCCGGUAGCUAAGUUCGGAAUCGAUAACCGCUGAAAGCAUCUAAGCGGGAAGCGAGCCCUGAGAUGAGUCUUCCCUGAUACUUUAAGUAUCCUGAAGGGUUGUUCGAGACUAGAACGUUGAUAGGCAGGGUGUGUAAGCGCUGUGAGGCGUUGAGCUAACCUGUACUAAUUGCCCGUGAGGCUUAACCAU